rnacentral:rRNA from 1 species
UACGGAGGAUGCGAGCGUUAUCCGGAUUUAUUGGGUUUAAAGGGUGCGUAGGCGGACUGUCAAGUCAGCGGUAAAAUUGAGAGGAUCAACCUCUUCCCGCCGUUGAAACUGGUGGUCUUGAGUGGAUGAGAAGUACGCGGAAUGCGUGGUGUAGCGGUGAAAUGCAUAGAUAUCACGCAGAACUCCGAUUGCGAAGGCAGCGUACCGGCAUCCAACUGACGCUGAGGCUCGAAAGCGUGGGGAGCAAACAGG